CACGUAGGGGCCAAGCGUUGUCCGGAUUCAUUGGGCGUAAAGAGCUCGUAGGCGGUUCAGUUAGUCGGGUGUGAAAUCUCCGGGCUCAACCCGGAGGGGCCACCCGAUACUGCUGUGACUCGAGUCCGGUAGGGGAGUGGGGAAUUCCUGGUGUAGCGGUGAAAUGCGCAGAUAUCAGGAGGAACACCGGUGGCGAAGGCGGUUCUCUGGGCCUUACCUGACGCUGGAGGAAGCGAAAGGCGUGGGGA
rnacentral:rRNA from 1 species